CUUCGAGAAUUUUUGCCAAAAUCUGAAUGAAAUCUCCUCUUUUGAAUGUUUGAUCUCAGCACUAUGAAUGACUUCAAAUGAAGGAAAAUCUUAGAGGGGAAAAAAUAAAUGUAAUGUCUGAGGAUAUCUACCAGCAGAUAUUUUACACAUGACAACUUCAAUUCAAGUUCCUGCUCACCACCAGUGUGCCAAUGAAAUCAUCAAAAGCAAGAGGAGCAGCAGCUGGCCUCAGUAAGUGAGGGAACACAGCUCAGAAAAUGGGACUAAGCUGCUC